rnacentral:rRNA from 1 species
UACGAAGGGUGCAAGCGUUACUCGGAAUUACUGGGCGUAAAGCGUGCGUAGGUGGUUUGUUAAGUCUGCUGUGAAAGCCCCGGGCUCAACCUGGGAAUGGCAGUGGAUACUGGCAAGCUAGAGUGCGGUAGAGGGGUGUGGAAUUCCCGGUGUAGCGGUGAAAUGCGUAGAGAUCGGGAGGAACACCAGUGGCGAAGGCGGUUCUCUGGGCCUUACCUGACGCUGAGGAGCGAAAGCGUGGGGAGCGAACAGG